AGCCCAACUUACAAUACAUCAGAGAAUUCACACAGGAGAAAAACCUUACAAAUGCAUUGAGUGUGAGAAAUCCUUUACAUGUUGCUCCGGCCUUAGAAAACAUCAGAGAAUUCAUACAGGAGAAAAACCUUACACAUGUAGUGAAUGUAAGAAAUCUUUUACCAGUGGCUCAGAUCUUAGAAGACAUCAGAAAAUUCAUACUGGAGAGAAGCCUUACAAAUGCAGUGAAUGUGACAAAUGCUUUAUUCAGAAAGUCCAACUUAGAAUACAUCGUAGAAUUCAUACAGGAGAGGAACCUUACAAAUGCAGUACAUGUGUUAAAGUCUUUACCCACCUCUCAGGUCUAAGAAAACAUCAGAAAAUUCAUAGUACUGAACGAAAGUUUCCAUUAGUAAAAAAUGUAGCAUAUGCUUUGUCCAAGUUCUGCCCUUAAAAACUAUUGCAUACUCCACACUAGAAAAUCAUAAUGAGCAUGAGCAAUUUCUGAAAUCCUCUUAAGUAAUGUUCAAAUCUUAGAAAACAUCAAGAAUUUACAUUGAGGAAAAAUGAUUAAAAUGUGGCAAUGUAUGAAAUACAUUAUUAAAACAUUCUACUUUUUCAACCUCAAACACUUCAUAAUGAAGAAAAUAUGGAAAGGCCUGAAGAAUGUGCUGUUUGUGCAGCUGGUUCCUGGAGACUGAAAUGUUCUGUCCUGAAGAGAAGCUGAUAAAGGCAGGAAAUAUAAUUCCCAAAUGGCUUCAUGAAGUCUGUGAAACUGACAGGGUUCACUCUACUCAACUCCCAUAAAAAAAAAAAAAAAAA
rnacentral:lncRNA from 1 species